GUUAGGAAUAUUGGACAAUGGGCGCAAGCCUGAUCCAGCCAUGCCGCGUGAGUGAUGAAGGCCUUCGGGUUGUAAAGCUCUUUAGCCGAUGAUUAUAAUGACUGUAGUCGGAAAAUAAGCCCCGGCUAACUUCGUGCCAGCAGCCGCGGUAAUACGAAGGGGGCGAGCGUUAUUCGGAAUCACUGGGCGUAAAGCGUGCGUAGGCGGCUUUGCAAGUUGGGAGUGAAAGCCCAGGGCUCAACCCUGGAAUUGCUCUCAAAACUGCAAGGCUCGAAUUCGGGAGAGGAUAGCGGAAUUGUCAGUGUAGCAGUGAAAUGCGUAGAUAUUGACAGGAACACCAGUGGCGUAAGCGGCUAUCUGGACCGAUAUUGACGCUGAGGCACGAAAGCGUGGGGAGCAAACAGGAUUAGAAACCCGAGUAGUCC
rnacentral:rRNA from 1 species